rnacentral:rRNA from 1 species
GAUGAACGCUGGCGGCGUGCCUAAUACAUGCAAGUCGAGCGAACAGACGAGGAGCUUGCUCCUCUGACGUUAGCGGCGGAGGGGUGAGUAACACGUGGAUAACCUUCCUAUAAGACUGGGAUAACUUCGGGAAACCGGAGCUAAUCCCGUAUAAUAUAUUGAACCGCAUGGUUCAAUAGUGAAAGACGGUUUUGCUGUCACUUAUAGAUGGAUCCGCGCCGCAUUAGCUAGUUGGUACGUUAACGGCUUACCAAGGCAACGAUGCGUAGCCGACGGGAGAGGGUGAUCGGCCACACGGGAACGGAGACGCGGACCAGACUCCUACGGGAGGCAGCAGUAGGGAAUCGUCCGCAAUGGGCGAAAGCCUGACGGAGCAACGGCGCGUGAGUGAUGAAGGCCUUCGGAUCGGAAAACUCUGUUUUUAGGUAAGAACAAAUGUGUAAGGAGCUAUGCACGUCUUGACGGUACCUAAUCAGGAAGCCACGGCUAACUACGUG